AUGAGUAGCCACUGCACCUUGCCCUGCGCCAUCAAUGAGAAGAUCUGCUCUUAGUAGAGCCCUGCUUUCCCGCUGAAGGCCCUGAAAUCACCUGUGUUCCAGGCCACCCACUAAGGAUAAACAAAGCUUCCCUGAUAUGGGGAAUUAGCUCAAGUGGUAGAGCGCUUGCUUAGCAUGCAAGAGGUAGUGGGAUCAAUGCCCACAUUCUCCAAGCUUUAUUAUUUAGGUACCCAAACCCGAGUCAGUGUCUGAGAGCAAGACACUGCUCUCGGUGUCUUUGGUUCAAGACAUAGGAGCAGCAACAAUACAGGACUGGUGACAGCUUCCUGCUGGCAUUCAGUAUAGUGUAGAUCUACUGUGUAAUUAAUUUUCUGUUUCUUCGAGGAGCUGUGAAACCAAAGGACAUAUAAAACUGCUCUUUUCUCCCUGUUUCUGCCUGCAGCUUGGUCCUAAAUGUGAGACAAUUGUGAAAAGUGGAGGACAGAGCCACCUGGUUAAAUACAGCCCCAGCUUUCUGGUGAGAGGACUGAAACCAAGAUGUGUCAAGUAACUAGAAUGUGCCUGGACAGAUACUGUAGAAAGCAAAACCAUAAAGUUGUUCAUGAGCUUGUGGACGCACCUGCCAGCUGUGAAUAAGUGGCUCUAAUCCCGAACAACUUACCUAAAAAGAGCCUGAGAGCUGAACUGUGCAAUGGCCCACUUUCCAGUCCUCACUGACCACUGGGUUGCACACACUUUGGAGAUCUCUGAACAGCAGUGUCAAGGCUUUCAAAUAGAGUUAUCUUUGAAACGACAACACAUGAAAGUCUGGUUGGUACUUGGAGCUUAAAUACAAGGCAAUUGUGUGCCUGCAAAAACAAAAAUAGCAAUAUUAUCCUUAAGAUUUCAACAAGACACAGUGUCUCAUCACAUAAUCCAAAGAAGUCCAGGUUACAAGCCCCACAAUAUUCAGCAUUAUGAAAAAACAGGGAGAUCUUAAUUCACAUGGCAAAGAGAAUCCUCGAAUAACAAUAUUGAGAGGACACAGAUGUCAAAAUCAUCUGACACAUACAUUAAAGCAGAUAUUAUAACAAUGCUCCUAGAAUCGGGGAUAACAUUCGUGAAGUGAAUGGAAAGUUGGAAAGUCUCACCAAAUAUUUCGAAUACAUAAACACCAAUUUAAACUUAAGAAUUAAAAAAAUGUAUUAACCAAAACUCUUAGGGGAAAUAAAAAGCUUAAUUGGAGGAUCUCCAUAAUCGAAUGCAGAAGACUAAGGAAAAAGUCAAUGAACUUGAAAACAGAACACGAAUACCUACAUAAUCUGAACUAUAGAGAGAAAGGAGGAUUUUAUUGUCUCUGAACAGAGGCUCAGGCACAAAUAAAAAAUAACAAAUCCAACAUUCACAUUAUUGUAAUCUGGAAAGAAGAGGACAAAGUGGUCUUUGUGGGAUAAAACUUUGAACAAUUAAUAGCUGAAAAUGGUUCAAAUUUGUCAAAAGAUAUAAACCAGAUUUUUAAAGUUCAGUAAAUGUCAAUCAGGAUAAACCCAAAGAAACCCAUAGCAAGGCAUAUCAUAAUCAAACUGCUGAAAACUAAGAAAAUACAAAACAAUUUUGAAAGCAGCCAAAGGGAAAUGAAAGAGAAACUACCAAAUGAAUGAUUGUAGAUUUCGCAUCAGGAACCAUAGGGGCCAGAAAAAAUGUCAUAACAUUCGGUAAGUAACAAAAGAAAAAGACAUAUCGACCCAGAAUGCUAUGUGGAGCAAAAGUAUCUUCCAGACAUAAAGGCAAAUAAAUGCAUUCUCAGUGGAAGGUAAGUAAAUACAUUCUCAUUCUUAGGAAGACUGCUGGAAAAGAAUUAGCAAAGAUUUGAGAUAAGAAAAAUGAUACCAGAAGGAAACUUAGAACAUCAUCAGUGAAGGAACAAAAGCAGAAAUAGAACAUGUCUGGGUAGACAUAACAGACUAUUAUUCUUCCCUUGAGUUCCUUAAGGUAUGUUUGAUGAUUGAAAGCAAAAAUUGUAACUUUAUCAGAAGCAGUUGUCAUUGUAUCUAGAUGUACUACAUACAGAAGAUAAAAGGGUAAGUGUAAUGGGACUAACUCUUGAUGAAGUUUCUUUAUUCAACUUGAAUGGUAAAAUAUUGAUUCUAAGUAUACUGUGAAAGGUUAUAUAUGUAUAUGGUAAACCCUAGACCACUUCCUUUCUUCUUUCUUUCUUUCUUUCUUUCUUUCUUUCUUUCUUUCUUUCUUUUUCUCUUUUUCCUUCUUUUGGCUUCUUAGUGGUUUGAAUACAAGGCGUGGUGAAGAGAUAUAAAUUACACAAGAAACUACAAGCUAUGUCAUAUGUCUACCUCUCUAGCUGACAAGGGAAGCAGGGGAAAUUUCUCUUCCAAUUGUCUGCUCUGAAGGUCAUCCAAACAUAAUUAUCAGGUGGGGUGGGUGAACUCUUUUAUUCUUUUAAUCAUCCAACAAAUAUUUCUCAAGCGCAUACCUUGUUAAGAGACUGUUUUGGGUACAGUAAUUCACAGUGAAUAAAACACAGAUAUUCUCACCUUUGUGAUACUACGUCAUAGUUGCAAGGAGUGGGGAGAAACAGACAGGAAGCAAAGAAGAAAAAUAAACAAGAAGUCAUGUGAUAAUAUCUACUGGGAGGGACUCAUUAGGCAGUAAAGGACUCGGCAGUGUGGAGGUGACACAUUCAGUUUUCAGUAGAAGAAUCAGGGAAGUUGUCACUUUGAAGCUAUCAUUUAGCUUCCCUUUCUUUCAAUCUUCUUUCUUUACAUGGGAAAUAAGGAUUGUGGGAUAUUUUUGGGUGGAUCACAGCACCUAGAGAUGGACCUGAUCAAUAAGAACUGCUCAGUAAGCAUUAGCUACUGCUUCGGUUGCCUUCCCCCUGUGGAGUGCUGGCCUCUUGGAUUGAGCUUGCAUCAUAGGUGUUCAGUAGGAGCUUGCUUAGUGGAUUUAUAGGUUGAGGUUAGAACCCACUGGAAUUCUCUUCCUGGAAAGAACAGGCUUCUCUUUAAGGUUUCAUACAGACCCUGGUUGAGGAAAGAGCCCUAAAUUGCUUG
rnacentral:tRNA from 1 species